rnacentral:rRNA from 1 species
GCAAUUCGGCAUGGUCUGAUUUGUUUUUUAUCUUGUUUUAAUUUUUUGUUGUUUGUAUUGUUUAAUUGAAGAAUCAUUAUGUUGUUGUAUAGUUUUGAUUUAAUUGUUUUUACUAUAGAUUAUUUGUACCGUAGGGGUAUGAUUAUUUUAUUUUGUUUUUAAAAGCUAAUUUUGUUUAUUGUACCUUGUGUAUCAGGGUUCAUUGAAUUUUAUUAUUUAUUUUUGUUUCCCGAUUUUAAAGGAGUUAAUGGUUUAUUUUAGUUAUUGUUUCAUUAUUAUUAAUAAUAGACUGUUGGUAGUGAAAUGUUAUUCGUCUUUUAUGGUUUCUGGUUUUUCAAGAAAUGAAUUCAAUUCAUGCUUUUUGUUUAAUUUUUACUUUUGUUUUAUUUAUUUUUAUUUGGUGCUAAGAUUAAGGGGGAUCAGCUCCUUAUUUUAUUUUUAUAAUUUUAUUUGUUAUUUAGUUUUGUGGAUUUUAUGGUGAUUUUCAAUUUGAUUAUGUUAAAAUUUUAUUUAUUUUUUUGUUUAUUUUAUUGUAAUUUAAUUUGUUUAUUGGAAUGUUUUCUUUAAUUGUUUAUUGGGUAGUAAUUAUUGUGUAAUUAGUAAAUUUUACUUUAUGUUGUUUAUAUGUGUGUUAAAUUCUUUUGAGGAAUUCGGCAAAUAUUUCAUGUCCGCCUGUUUAACAAAAACAUCUUUUCUUGUUAGUUUUUGAAGUAUGGCCUGCCCACUGACGUUUAUUUGUUGAAGGGCCGCGGUAUUUUGACCGUGCAAAGGUAGCAUAAUCAUUAGUUCUUUAAUUGUGAUCUGGUAUGAAUGGCUUGACGAGACAUGGGCUGUCUUAAAGGUUGAAUAUUUGAUUGAACUUGGUUUUUGAGUUAAAAUUCUUAAAUGUUUUUAUGGGACGAGAAGACCCUAUAGAGUUUAACAUUUUGAUUGUUUUUGUUGCUUGUUGGUUUUAUUUAUUAAGUGAUUAAAGUGUUUUGUUGGGGUGAUGGGAGGAAUUUAUUUAACUCCUCUUUAUUUUGUAUACUUAUUUGUGUUAUUUUGAUCCAUUUAUUUUGAUUAUAAGAUUAAAUUACCUUAGGGAUAACAGCGUUAUCUUCCUUGAGAGUUCUUAUUGGCGGGGAGGUUUGCGACCUCGAUGUUGGAUUAAGGUUAAUUUUUGGUGUAGGAGCUGAAAGUGAUUGGGUCUGUUCGACCUUUAAAAUCUUACAUGAUCUGAGUUCAGACCGGCGUGAGCCAGGUUGGUUUCUAUCUAUAAUAUUGUUUAUAUCUUAGUACGAGAGGACCGGGUAUUUGGAAUAAUUUUAUUUUGUGUGAUUGUUAUUAACGUUUUUACUAUUUUGGCAGAUAAGUGCAUUGGAUUUAGAAUCUAUUAA